AUAGUACCGAAGUUCCUGAUCCUACACUGCCAAGAAAAGCCUCUAGCGAGGUGAGAGGUGCCCGUACCGCAAACCGACACAGGUAGGCGAGAAGAGAAUUCUAAGACGCUCGGGAGAACUCUCGUUAAGGAACUCGGCAAAAUGACCCCGUAACUUCGGGAGAAGGGGUGCUCUGAUAGGGUGCAAGCCCGAGAGAGCCGCAGUGAAAAGAUCCAAGCGACUGUUUAGCAAAAACACAGGUCUCUGCGAAGCCGCAAGGCGAAGUAUAGGGGCUGACACCUGCCCGGUGCUGGAAGGUUAAGAGGAGGGGUUAUCCCUUCGGGAGAAGCUCUGAAUUGAAGCCCCAGUAAACGGCGGCCGUAACUAUAACGGUCCUAAGGUAGCGAAAUUCCUUGUCGGGUAAGUUCCGACCCGCACGAAUGGUGUAACGACUUGGAUACUGUCUCAACGAGAGACCCGGUGAAAUUAUAGUACCUGUGAAGAUGCAGGUUACCCGCGACAGGACGGAAAGACCCCAUGGAGCUUUACUGUAGCUUGAUAUUGGAUGUUGGUACCGUUUGUACAGGAUAGGUAGGAGCCUUGGAAGCCGGAGCGCUAGCUUCGGUGGAGGCGCUGGUGGGAUACUACCCUGACGGUAUUGACAUUCUAACCUCGAACCGUGAUCCGGUUCAGGGACAGUGUCAGGUGGGCAGUUUGACUGGGGCGGUCGCCUCCUAAACAGUAACGGAGGCGCCCAAAGGUUCCCUCAGAAUGGUUGGAAAUCAUUCGUAGAGUGCAAAGGCAAAAGGGAGCUUGACUGCGAGACCUACAAGUCGAGCAGGGACGAAAGUCGGGCUUAGUGAUCCGGCGGUGCCGUAUGGAAGGGCCGUCGCUCAACGGAUAAAAGCUACCCUGGGGAUAACAGGCUUAUCUCCCCCAAGAGUUCACAUCGACGGGGAGGUUUGGCACCUCGAUGUCGGCUCAUCGCAUCCUGGGGCUGAAGUAGGUCCCAAGGGUUGGGCUGUUCGCCCAUUAAAGCGGUACGCGAGCUGGGUUCAGAACGUCGUGAGACAGUUCGGUCCCUAUCCGUCGCGGGCGUAGGAAAUUUGAGAGGAGCUGUCCUUAGUACGAGAGGACCGGGAUGGACACACCGCUGGUGUACCAGUUGUUCCGCCAGGAGCAUCGCUGGGUAGCUACGUGUGGACGGGAUAAGUGCUGAAAGCAUCUAAGCAUGAAGCCCCCCUCAAGAUGAGAUUUCCCAUGGAGUAAAUCCAGUAAGACCCCUUAGAGAUGAUGAGGUUGAUAGGUCUGGUGUGGAAGCGUGGCGACACGUGAAGCUGACAGAUACUAAUCGGUCGAGGACUUAUCCAAAAA
rnacentral:rRNA from 2 species